CCUACGGGUGGCAGCAGUGGGGAAUAUUGGACAAUGGGCGAAAGCCUGAUCCAGCCAUGCCGCGUGUGUGAAGAAGGCCUUCGGGUUGUAAAGCACUUUCAGUGGGGAAGAAAGCCUUGGGGCUAAUACCCUCGAGGAAGGACAUCACCCACAGAAGAAGCACCGGCUAACUCCGUGCCAGCAGCCGCGGUAAUACGGAGGGUGCGAGCGUUAAUCGGAAUUACUGGGCGUAAAGCGCGCGUAGGCGGUCUGAUAAGCCGGUUGUGAAAGCCCCGGGCUCAACCUGGGAACGGCAUCCGGAACUGUCAGGCUAGAGUGCAGGAGAGGGAGGUAGAAUUCCCGGUGUAGCGGUGAAAUGCGUAGAGAUCGGGAGGAAUACCAGUGGCGAAGGCGGCCUUCUGGACUGACACUGACGCUGAGGUGCGAAAGCGUGGGUAGCAAACAGGAUUAGAUACCCCUGUAGUC
rnacentral:rRNA from 1 species